rnacentral:tRNA from 1 species
GCCUUGGUGGCUCAGUCCGUUGAGCAUCUGACUUCAGCUCAGGUCAUGAUCUCACGGUUCGUGGGUUCAAGCCCCACGUCGGGCU